rnacentral:lncRNA from 1 species
UGAAACUACGGAGGCGGUGAGGGGGUGAGGACCGGGGCCUUCCUCACCUGGCCUGGGGGGUGCUGGCCCUCAGGUUACAGGUUACAGGGUCUCUGCCCUGGGAGCGGCCCCUGCCUCUGGGAGCUGCAGGGACCCUUGGGGAUUAUGGGGUCCCUGCCUCUGGGGCUCACAGGAAUCACAGAGUCUCUGCCACUCUAUCUUUCUUUCCUUCCCUUCCCUCCC